ACGCGGUGCGGCCGCGGCGCUGCGACCUGCGCACGGGCCGCCGGGCUGGUCGCCCCGCAGGGACCCUCGGCCGCCCGGACCCUAAGGGCGGCGGCCCCGCUCCCCCCGGUGCGCCGUGACGGCCUGGUCCUCCCGCGCGCCCGGUGCUCCCCGGGCCUCCGCCGGGGCCUGCCAGGCGUGCCGGACCCUGCUGCGCCGCCCCGGCCCGCUCCUGGGGGCCGUCUCCAUCCCCGGCUCCUGGGGGCCGUGGCCAGUCUGGGCGGACGUCCCCGCCGCUGGGACCCUGUCGGCGGUCUCUCCCACGGCAGCGAGCGGUGCUCCCCGGUGCCGGUGCCGGUGCCGGUGCCGGAGCCGGGGGAACGCAGUGGAGACGAGGCAUCUGCUUCCUGAUCCGGAACAGGGUCGCUGCCGAUCCCUGUUCGGCGCUGCAGUCGCGGCCUGGGAGCCGGGGAGUAAGCGGAGGUUAUGGAAGGUUGACGGCGGGCCGCCUGCGAACCGGGGUCAGGGGUCAUCCCCGGUCAGGGCACAGGCCCGGAGGCGGCGGCCAGCAAUGAUUCUCUCUCAUCAUUGAUCUCUCUCCCUCUCCCUUCCUCUCUGACAUCCAUAGACGUAUUUUUUUUUUUUUUAAAGACGAAACCCUCUAUAGAUGUUUCGGUGUCUUUCCUUCUUACUCGGACCUUCCUGUACAAAUAUGAAAGGUGCCAAUGGAAAACUGAGCUCUACCUCGAGAGUUUCUAGCGAAGUACCCCCAAAAUAAAAUCAGUGAGAGAGGCAACAUUGCUCCCCGGGGGAGGCUAAGCGACCCGCCACCCCCGCAGCCAAAACAGGACUUGAAGAAGCACGUUUUUCUUGGAAAGGAAUGUGAAUCUUGGGUUUCACCUUUUAUUUUUAUCUCUUAAAAGCUUUAAUUUAUCCCUGAGAAAGAUACGCCGGCGUCCGUUCUGUGGCUUCUCUGCCUUCCAGGUUAAAGGACCCCAGGCUGCAAGGCCACAGGAAAGGCAACCAUCAGUUCGCUCACUCGCUUCUUCAGCAUUGAUUGAGCCCCCAAGAGAGGAGACGGGCUGCACAGCCGGGGACCACAGCCGGGGACGGAGAGGAGCAGCAGGAGACCCCACGUGGGCUGCGGCUGCGAGCGCAGUGCCGGGAUCCGAUAGUGCAGUGAUGGUGAGCCUCUGGCACGCGAGCUCAUUUUUUUGGAUGAUUUUUCUUUGUUAAAUGGC